CUGGCCUGUCAUGCGCUCACCCUGUGCCUAUAAAAGCCUCAAGACCCUAGCGGGCAGGGACACAAGCUGCUGGAUAUCGAGAGGAAUACAUCCGCGGAAGAAGAUGCAAGCAGCUGGACGUCAAGAGGACGUCGAGGGGAGCAAACCAGUGGAAGAGCACACGACGCUGGCACACCGGCAGGCCAUCAGAGUUCGGCCGGGGUAGUCGGAGGAGAGCCCUGGUGCUGAGUGGCUCAACUCCAGGGGAAAACCAUCUCCCUUCUGGCUUCACCAUCUGCUGAGAGCUACUUCCACUCAAUAAAACCUUGCACUCAUUCUCCAAGCCCACAUGUGAACUGAUUUUUCCAGUACACCAACGCAAGAAACCUCAGGAUACAGAAAGCCCUCUGUCCUUCCAAUAAGGCAGGGGGUUCUAAUUGAGCUAACACAAGGCACCUACGGAUGCCUAAAUUAAAGAGCAAACUUGUAACACACGCCCACUAGAGCUUCAGCUGCAAACCGCUAGACACUGCCGUGGGGUCAGAGCCCCACAGCCUGCCGGUCUGUAUGCUCCCCUAGAGGUUUGAGCAGCUGGGCAAUGAAGAGGUGAGCUACAACUCCCAGUGCACACCCUGCGAGGGGGACAAGGGAACUUUUCCUGUUUUAGAAAUACCAAAGCACAAUCAACCCAUCAAACGAAAAAAACAACAACAGCCUAAAAGACAAGGUUGAUGUGGAGGAGAAAAAAAAGGUCUCGCUCUGCCACCCAGGCUAGGAGUGCAGUAGAGUGACUACAGUUCACAGCAGACUCAACCUUCCAGGCUCAAGCAAUCCUCUCACCUCGGCCUCCCAAGUACCUGGGACUACAGGCACACUCCACCAUUCCCAGCUAAUUUUUGUAUUUUUUGUAGAGACAUGGUUUUGACAUAUUGUCCAGGCUGGUCUUUUACUGUCAAAUUGCUAUAUUUUAUUGCUUUUGUUUUUGAAUAUUUUUGAUCCAUGAUUGAGUCCAUGAACAUGGAACCUGUGGACAUGGAGGCCCAACAAUAGUACUUAAUGUCUUUCUAACACAGCUACCUUAUGAACUCUGGAAAAAAUUGUAUGCCAGCCAAAGCAGUGGAACAACCAUAUUCUACUCACUGGAUUGUCCUCAACUGUUCAACAAUACCUCCCAAACUUGUUCCUGACUUCCGCCCAACAUGCAAUGACUCCAUUCUCAUUGUGCUCUUACCUGUUUCACUUAGUUGGAUUAUUUCUGUUCAAAAAUAUGUUUGAUUUUUAAAACUCAGGCUUUCACAGCUUUUAAAAGUUGUAUAAACCACUGUAUUUGUUUGAUAGAUGUGGGUGAAUUUGGCUUCCUACAAAGCAAUAACAAAUCAUCCACAUAGGAAAGUUACCAUUUCUGCAGAUGGAAAAAUGUGUACCUUGCUUCUCAUAUCAUUGUUUUCAUUUUGCAAGAUAUGAAUUUCUUGAAUAGUGGUAUCACCUACAAUUACUUAAAAAAUUAAAAUAAUUUAGGGCACCUUAGCUUGAUAGCUUUCUAAAGAUAUAAACAAGUUAUUUGGUUUAAUGAGGGGAAAAAAAUUGGUCUAAAGGAAAAUGGACUGACAGCUUUGUUACAUACUAAAAAUCAACCAAUAACUGUCUUUUAAUGUUGUUGGUGAUAGUUGUUUUGUUUUUUAAGCAGGAAACACACAGAUGUACUCUAAAAAUCAUUCUUAGUAGAAGUCUUUAAUAUCAUUUUACUUAUAGAUACUAAGUAUAAAUCUUCCACUUAAUCUGUGUUAAAAUAUGAUAUUCUUUUAUUUGUCAGUUAAUAGUUUGUAAGGACCAGAAAGUAACCAUUUCUAUAAAGCAGUUCUCUAGACAAGGUAAAAUGGUAAACCACCAUUAGAUGCUUUUUCUCCUUCUUCUCUGUCACGUGAUAUUAAAAAAGACUGGCCUGGGCAUGGUGACUCAUGCCUGUAAUCCCAGUAAUUUGGGAGUCCAAGGCUUUCAGAUCACCUGAGGUCAGGAGUUCGAGACCAGUCUGACCAACACGGAGAAACCCCAUCUCUACUAAAAAUACACAAUUAGCCGAGUGUGAUGGCGCAUGCCUGUAAUCCCAGCUACUCAGGAGGCUAUGGCAGGAGAAUCACUUGAACCCGGGAGGUGGAGGUUGCAGUGAACCGAGAUCAUGCCAUUGUACUCCAGCCUGGGCAACAAGAGCGAAACUCCAUCACCAAAAAAUAAAAUAAAAUAAAAAAUAUCCCAAUAACAGGGUUUUCUUGGGGCAUGUACCAUUGUGCUAAAUCUUCCAUUGAUGAACAUAUUGCAAUCUUUCCAUUGUUGCUUCACUUCUCAGCUUUUUAUGCAGAUAUAUUUUUAAAAUUAUCAGCAGACAAAACAUGUCUCAUCCUUUUCCUCUUUAUUCAUAUUCUUUUCAUUUGCCAUUUUUCAGUAUUUAGAGUAUGCUGCCCACGAGUCCCACGUUAUAGACUGGCUCACUGAAAGACUCAAACACUUCCUUCAGUCAAAUAUUCCCAACUGUUAUUUCUAACAAUUCCUUGUUCCUUGGUAGCUUUAUUAUGUUGGGCUUUUGUUUUCAAAUUCUGCAUAUUGAUUUAUAACUAGCUGUUAUUUCUAGCUGUGUGAUCUUAAACCAGUCACAUGAAUUCCCUGGGUUCUAAUUCUCUUAUCUGUAAAAUGAGCAAACUAUGAGAAUUCAUCUGUGUUGUUAUGAAAAUAAAAUAAGCUAUUGCUAACAAAACUCUUAAAAUAGUGCCUGGCCACGGUGGCUCGUGUCUGUAAUCCCAGCACUUUAGGAGGCCAAGGUGGGGGGAUCACGAGGUCAAGACAUCGAGACCAUCCUGGCCAACAUGGUGAAACGCCGUCUCUACUAAAAAUACAAAAAUUAGCUGGGUGUGGAGGUGGGCACCUGUAGUCCCAUCUACUUGGCAGGCUGAGGCAGGAGAAUAGCUUGAACCCGGGAGGUGGAGGUUGCAAUGAACUGAGAUCCUACCACUGCACUCCAGCCUGGUAACAGAGCAAGGCUCUGUCUCAAACAAACAAACAAACAAAAAGUGCCUAGCACAUAGUGUUCAAUAAAUGUUAAUGAUUACUAUGGAGAUCAAUACAUGUAAUAAUAUUUAGUUUUCCAAUUCAACCUUCCUACUAAUGCAGCCCUUUCCAUUUCUGACUUUGAAAAUAAAAAUGCUUUCAAUAAUACAAAAAACGCAUUUAACAAUUUUACUUACAAAACAUUUUUGCACAUAACAUUUCAGUAAGCUCCAUGAAGGUAGGGAUCUCUGGUUUCCUGUCUUGGUCGGUGUGGUAAGAUGCUUCUUGGUAACUACUGACUGAAUGAAAAACAGAAUAAUGUCAUUUUGCACUUACAUUUUACACUUGCACCCCUGAGUCUCAUGAAGAAAUAGUGAUAUAU
rnacentral:lncRNA from 1 species